UAGCAAAGCUGGGAUCCUGCAAAUAGAAGGGAAAGAAUCAAAAGAAUGAUUCUGUGGGUUGUGCUGAGGGACUUGAAAGUUAUGGCAGAAAUGGGGUGAAGGUCAAAGUGAAAUUUAUCUUUGCACUAGGGACAAAGCUGACAGCAUAAAGCUACAUGAGUCUGAAAGGUUGUUGAGUGCUCUGUGCAGGGAUAUGGAUUGGGAGGGCUAUCUGGUACUUUAGGUCUUGUUUUUGGGUAGCUGAGAAAAAUGAAUACUCCAAAGAAGACUUCAAGCAGCAAAACGUGGAAAAAUUCUUAUACAGUAUAGGUGCAAGGAGAAAGACCUCCUGGAGCAGAACCAGAAGAUGGAAGGAGGAAGAAAAGCAAGUGAAAGACCCAGAGGAGGAAGUGGAAGAAGGAAGAGAGGUUGUAGCAGGGGCAAGAGACUGAUAAAAAGGUGUCUCCAUAUGUAAAAGGAGAAGUUGGUGGUCUGGGGAGAAUGUUCUAGGGAUCAGUGGAUUCAACACUUUGGAUUGUGGUGACAACUGGAAAAAUCCCGAUUCCGAGGAAAACCAGGACUCCAGAACCACUUUCUCCUGCUGGCGGAGGAAUAUUUAUGGUGCUGCCAUCUGUGGGGUUGUUAAUGAAGAUAUUGAACAAAGACCAGCUACAGGGCCAAGCCCCGGUGCACUCCAAUUGAUACCAGCUGCCAGCUAGACAUCGAGUCAUUGACUGCUACCCGCUGAGCCAAAUGAUCCAGCCAGUUUUCUGUCUACCUUACAGUCCAUUCAUCCAACCUGUACUUCCUUAGCUUGCCUGCGAGGAUGUUGUAGAUCACAUGUUCCACUGCACAGUAUUAACACGCAUUUCCAUUAAAAUUAAGGAAGAUUCUAAUGUUUGAAAUUUGUGUGUGCCCCUCUGUAAAUUUAAAAUUGCAAGACAGCUGGAGGAAGAGAAGAAAGAGGAGGAGGAGGGGUUUUGUACUGCACAAAACUGCUGUUUCCUUUGCUACUGGAACAUAACUGAAUUCGCAGACUGCAUUAGAAAGAAUGGCUUUUUAGGGCACAUCUUGGGUGCUCACAAAGCAAUGCUCAUAAAAGACAUUGCUGGGGGCACAUUGCAUUUCAUCUUUCUGUUGAAAUUGGGAGGCCUUGUGCCAUUAGCGGGCAGCUGCAUUAAGGGUUUCAUAGGUAACUUCAGGACACUGGACACAUUUACAAUGCACAAAACACAAACACUUUUAAUGGUUAUUUUCCCUACGUGUAAAAUUCACAAGAAGGGGCCAGGUUUUCCUGUGCCUACUGACAAAUGCUCUUGAAAAGAAGGUCUGGAUUAGACUCCUCACUUUAGGCUGUCAUUUCUGGGAUCAACACAGUGUUGUGUCCUUUGGGGGAAAAAGAGAACAAGACAGUGCUUCACCUGGUUCUGGAGUGAUUUGUGUGGCAGGGAUUAGGACUCCUUCGUUGAUAGGCUUCUAAGGGAAGCUCCGUACAAACCGCCUUGCAUUGAAGGGUGCCAGGAAAGGAAAGUAGGCCUUAUUGUGGAGACCAGAAAAAACAAAAGCUAGGUGAAGUCCAUCAACCUAUUUAUUCCACAGUGUGAAUAGCCAUAUCACACAAAAAGCAGGUUUCAGAAUAAAAUAAUUAGCUAGUUAGUAUGCUCAUCACCAUCAGGUGCUUCAUAUCCAAGCAGCAGAGUUCAAGGAGACUUGUUAAACUGGUCUCUGGCAGCAUUUGCACUGUCUGCAGGUUCACAAACUACAGGCUGCACAGUUUGUCACUUAACACCCAAAAACCUGUGGUAGUGCCCACUUCAGUAUAAGUCCAGUGUUUAUUGUCAGUGGAAAUGUGUUUAUGACUGUCAUAUAAUGGCUUAAUGUAAUUAGAAACUGAAGGAAGAAAUGAUGUAGCCUUUUUUUAAAGUAAGAAAAAUGUUUCCUUUAAAGAGUAAGAUAAACAGCAACACAACUUGUGUGGUUCUGGUUUGGUUUAAAAGAUACACACAAAAUGUAGGCGACAGUAGAAAUAGCCAGAUAGGUUUUAGAUAGUAAUUCCUUGCCUUGCCCUGACUCUCCAUUAAGGAGGUUCCUUUACUU